GCUGAAUGUUUCAUGGCAGGCUCCUGCUGGCCACCUCGGUUUGUCUUCUCUGGUGUUUUAGGUUCACACUGACAUGGAGUACUCUUCCUCAAAGCUGCAUCGGUAAUCAUUCUGGGUGGUGAAUUGAGAUUGAGGCAGGGCUUCUACAACUUUUCAAAUGGGAAGCUUCAAGUUCUAUUUAAUGUGUUGGGAACUGAGUUAUGGCAGCUCUUGAGCAAGUUACCCAAAUCAAGGGAGGUACUUCCAGAGCUCGUAGUAAACUGUCUUCCCUCAACUUGUGGACUGCUGCUCGUGGCAAAAUUACUUUGCGUGAGGGCAUUCCCCGUUUCUCCUGUCGUUCCAAUUACAUUCAAGGGACUCCUAAAUGAGACAUUU